rnacentral:rRNA from 1 species
GACGAACGCUGGCGGCGUGCUUAACACAUGCAAGUCGAACGGGAAGGCCCUGCUUUUGUGGGGUGCUCGAGUGGCGAACGGGUGAGUAACACGUGAGUAACCUGCCCUUGACUAUGGGAUAACUUCAGGAAACUGGGGCUAAUACCGGAUAGGUGCUCCUGCUGCAUGGUGGGGGUUGGAAAGUUUGGGCGGUCGGGGAUGGACUCGCGGCUUAUCAGCUUGUUGGUGGGUAAGUGGCUUACCAAGGCUUGACCGGCUGCCGGGCCGAUCAGGUGACCUGCCACAUUGGGUCUGAGAUGCGGCACAGACUCCUACGGGAGGCAGCGGUGGGGAAUAUUGCACUAUGGGCUGAAGCCUGAUGCAGCAACGCGGCGUGCGGGAUGACGGCCUUCGGGUUGUAUACCGCUUUCGCCUGUGACGAAGCGUGAGUGACAGUAAUGGGUAAAGAAGCACCGGCUAACUACGUG